GCACUGGUGGUUCAGUGGUAGAACUCUUGACUUCUAUGCGGGAGACCCACGUUCAAUUCCUGGCCAAUCCA
rnacentral:tRNA from 1 species